ensembl:piRNA 21ur-5829 ncRNA
UCAGAAAUUUUUUCGUAUGAU